CAAAAAGGAAAAAUGCUGAAGGCACGUGUAUUCCUUGUGGUAAUUGCUUCUGCAAUUCUUUUCGCAUUAGCAGCUGAAAGUAAACCCAUCGAUACUGAUCGAGAUAUCGGAGGAUCUUCUUAACCUUAAGAGAAAGCCUACUUCUGGACUGUCCACAUCAUCAACGAUGAAAUCGCCAGGAUUCUUGAUUUUCGAUUAUUACUUGACUCUACUGUAGAUAACAACUAGGAACCUUAUUUUCCAUAAUGGAUUAACAUUUAUUUGAGAACUGUUAAAUAAUCAAGACUAGAAAUUUGUAGUCUGUACUGGUAUAAUCAAACUUUCCAGUUGCGUUUUCUUUUAAUUUUGAUUUCUACUUGAACCUAUCUCUCAGAAACUGAUUUGUCGAGGUGGUUAGCAAUAUUAAAUACCCCCAAACCCUUACCUAACCUUUCCAUCCUAGCACUUGGCGGUGUCUCCUGCAGUUCUGUAACAUUUACGUUCAACUACAUCAGCGAACGAACUAUGUCUCUAUUGUUCAUCUCAAUCGGAGCAAACACCCAGAAUAAUAUCACCAUCUUAACCGCCAAGCAAAUCUCAAAUCUAACAUAGGUUGUCAAUUGUUAACACAUUUAUUUUUAAUAUGUAACUAUUUCUGCUAUACGUGUACAGUUUAUAAGCCAUGCCCUAUUUAAAUUCUGAAAUAUUCUGUUCGCUAUUUACCUGAGUUAUGUAACUUUAACGGUUUAUCUGUAUGUCACUAUCUUUAGUUUAUAGCAUGGAAACACACAAA